rnacentral:miRNA from 1 species
AAGUGAUGACAUGACAAGCGAAGU